rnacentral:rRNA from 1 species
GCCGCGUGUGUGAAGAAGGUCUUCGGAUUGUAAAGCACUUUCGACGGGGACGAUGAUGACGGUACCCGUAGAAGAAGCCCCGGCUAACUUCGUGCCAGCAGCCGCGGUAAUACGAAGGGGGCUAGCGUUGCUCGGAAUGACUGGGCGUAAAGGGCGCGUAGGCGGUUUAUGCAGUCAGAUGUGAAAUCCCCGGGCUUAACCUGGGAACUGCAUUUGAGACGCAUAGACUAGAGGUCGAGAGAGGGUUGUGGAAUUCCCAGUGUAGAGGUGAAAUUCGUAGAUAUUGGGAAGAACACCGGUGGCGAAGGCGGCAACCUGGCUCGAUACUGACGCUGAGGCGCGAAAGCGUGGGGAGCAAACAGGAUUA